rnacentral:lncRNA from 7 species
AGCGUGGGCCGGGGGGCGGGGCAGCGGGAGGAGCCUGCGUGAGCCGUGCGCCGGGCGGAGAACAGCGCUGCGCGGGGCUGCGUGCGGGUCCGGCGCUACGGCCCGAGGACACCGACCGCAUCAGCAAAUGACCCCUGUGUUCUGACGCGUUCGAAUUAGCUUUUCUUCCACCAGAAACGUUUUAAUUGAAUAAUCACGUGGGAGACGAUGUUCCGUUGUUUUACUUUGCUCCUGGUGCGUGCACGUCGGGCUGCAGCGCCUGCAUCUGCACGUGUCCUCUCACGGCCGCGACGGCCGCUGGUCUCAGGGACGGGCAUUGGAACCUCGCUGUGCUGCUGUGGGCACAUCUCGGCUCCGAGACGUCCUGAGAUCUGACACCGACUUCAUGCAAAUUCCACAAGAAAACAGUGUUGAGGUUCACGGCAGCUGCAGACGUACAGCUCACGACCUCACCCGUCAGCGGGUUUGCAACGUAAGGCUGCUCUCAUUUCAACAGCGAGAGCAAUUCAGGGCAUUUUAAACGCAGCAGAGUGCCUCAUUUCGGAGCCCGCCCUGCCCUAAUUGAAUGCCAAGCCCUUGAUGUAACUUACUGAUAGCACAACGUGUAAUGCUAUCUGGGAAGGUACGGCACCGUAUCAUUAAGGACUUGUCAGAGCACUCCUCUGUGACGGCGGUACACGUAAGGUGAGCUGCGAAUUCGUCAGUGGCGGAAUAAGAAGCUUUAUAACCAACCCUUCCGUUCCUUUCCUGCCUCAGCCACAGGCACUGCCUCCAACACCCCGCGAGCGUCCGAAACACAGCGACACAAAGCCUCAUCUCCACAGCCUGUUGGCAUCUCCAGGACACUCAUGGGAUGAGCAGCCCGCCGCCAGGGAACGCAAAAGGCACUCACACAGAAAAUAUAUUUACUUAAAUAAAACAGAACUCCUCCUGUCCACAAGAUGGGAUGCAUUACCACGUCACUGCCUCGUGUUUCUUGAUGCUGCGCUGUUAGCGCUGCCAAAUUGCCGGAGCUGCUGUUCUGUGUGGGAGGUGUUAAAACCUUUUUUUAGACAGAGAUAAUUGGAUCAUCUGAAGGAUGUUGAUGGUUUUAUUCUCAGUCGAUUUUCUUAAAUAUUUUUGCUAACGUUAUUGGUGCGGAAGGAAUACUGUCUAGCAGACUGAGCAAGCUGCCAGAGGGUGCGAGAGGUCUUCAGCAUAGCUGUGAAUAAAGCCCCAAAAGAUUUACUACUUCCUUACUACGAAACAGAGCCGAGCAUCGGCCACACGGCUGAGAGCAGAGCGCAGCCUUCACUGCAGGUAGGAGAGACCAAGUAGUGCUCCUGUGUAACCAAAGGCAUCCUCCUCUGUUCACUACUGUUCCAAUACUACAGCUCACCAAAUGAUUUUAUACAGCUCCCAAGGAAAAGCAGGUUUAAAACGGAGCCGACGGGAAUAUAAUUUCCUAAUAUAAUUAGGAAAUAUUUCAGAACCAAACUUGCAUUGCCACCGAUGUCCUGGGAAGUGCAGCCGUGGUUUCGUUCUGUUGCCUGGGGAGCACCACAGGAGUUGCACAGCCCUGCUGGGGAUGGCACUGCCUGCUCUGCCUUCAGACGGCUGCAGUGUGAAGAGGUCGUGACACGAAGACAUGAAGGUGGACCACAGUGUUAAAUAAAUCUUAUUAG